GGAUUCCCCUAGUAACUGCGAGUGAAGCGGGAAAAGCUCAAAUUUAAAAUCUGACUGCCUUUGGCUGUCCGAGUUGUAGUCUAGAGAAGUGUUUUCUGUGUCGGACCGUGUACAAGUCCCUUGGAACAGGGCGUCAUAGAGGGUGAGAAUCCCGUCUUUGACACGGACUACCGGUGCUUUGUGAUGCGCUUUCAAAGAGUCGAGUUGUUUGGGAAUGCAGCUCAAAAUGGGUGGUAAAUUCCAUCUAAAGCUAAAUAUUGGCGAGAGACCGAUAGCGAACAAGUACCGUGAGGGAAAGAUGAAAAGCACUUUGGAAAGAGAGUUAAACAGUACGUGAAAUUGCUGAAAGGGAAACGCUUGAAGUCAGUCGCGUUGAUCAGAAAUCAGCCUUGCUUGUGCUUGGUGUACUUUCUGUUUAACGGGUCAGCAUCAGUUUUGGUUGCAGGAAAAAGAUUAGAGGAACGUGGCACCUCCGGGUGUGUUAUAGCCUUUAGUCAUAUACUGUGGCUGGGACUGAGGAACUCAGCACGUGUAUAUUGUGCUUUGGAUGCUGGCUUAAUGGCUUUAAACGACCCGUCUUGAAACACGGACCAAGGAGUCUAACGUGCAUGCGAGUAUUUGGGUGGUAAACCCGAAUGCGCAAUGAAAGUGAAAGUUGGGAUCUCUGUCAUGGAGAGCACCGACGCCCGGACCAGACCUUCUGUGACGGAUCUGCGGUUGAGCAUGUAUGUUGGGACCCGAAAGAUGGUGAACUAUGCCUGAAUAGGGUGAAGCCAGAGGAAACUCUGGUGGAGGCUCGUAGCGAUUCUGACGUGCAAAUCGAUCGUCAAAUUUGGGUAUAGGGGCGAAAGACUAAUCGAACCAUCUAGUAGCUGGUUCCUGCCGA
rnacentral:rRNA from 1 species